UCUUGUGCGUCCAAUUACGUGAUUUUGACAGUUUGCUCACUCCUGAGAAUUGUACUCGUAAAUUUUCAGAUGUAAGCGUAACGUUUAGGAGCAAACAUAACAUUCUGUAGCGCAAGCGAAAUUAUAAUUAACACGGGUAAAAUGUAAAUUUGAAUUAAAUUAUAUUUACUCCUUGUGCGCACUUGGAGCAGACUGUGCGGCGGUCGUUUAGGCGUUGCUGGGGAAAUCGUGGGCUGCAAAAUCAAAACAGGAGACUUGUGACCAAGAGGAACAGCUCAGAAUGACAAGAAGCCCCAUUUGGUGACAAAUCUGGCAGACAGUGAGAUGAGGGAGACGCAGAAGAGAAAAGAGAAGAGCACACUGGUAACAUUUUCUUCUGAUGACGGUAAGAGAGGGAUUCGAAGCCGCCGCCUGUUCCAUUUUGGUUGGUGGGUCCGGAGGUGUUUAUCCUGCAGAGCUACUACCCGAGUCCUUUUUUGCUUUGGAGUUUCAGCACUUUUAACAACUGAUUCCUCUGUCGACAAUUCAAAUAAAAGAGUUAUGCUGCUCGUCAUUCUUCUGCACCCCCCCUCUUCGACUCGGGGGCGGGGCGCCCCUUUGCUCGUCCGUCGGUCGGUCUCGAUCGCGGGGCCGACUCGGUCUUAGCUGACGGGGUUAUUUGCGUAUUUUGCUGUGCCACCACGGGGGUCCCCUUUAGAGGAAGGGUAUAGAAAGAAUUUAUACUGUUAACUCUUCGGUGGCCACAGCAAAUAAACAGGCCGCUUUCUAUUUAACUUGCUCAUAUGAUUUUGGGGGGUUUGAGAGACGCGAACCUGCACUUCUCUACGCCGUAUGAGUGAGUGGAUCACCCGCUUGAGCUACCGAUACUGACUGCAUAGCAAUGCAACCAGACGCAUUUAAUAUUAGCGACAGGUCUGUGGAUCCCAUAAAUAAAGGACCCCGUAUCUCGUUUGGAGAGGACGGCGCUCGAACCCUGCACCUCCGCCCAUUACCGAAAGAAUCGAAUCGGCUUUUCUAUCUCGGUGAGCUAACUCUCCGGCUGUAUGUUAUAAGAAAUCUUUUAUAUCACUGACAGAAUGGACGGCGCUGCAAAUAAACAGAUGGUGUGCAAGUUAUGUGAGGUGAAUCCUUGAGCUCAGGCCCUCCAUCGGCUCGGGUCUGCCCCUUUGAACGGGAUGGUCGGUCUGUUUCAGCCGUUCUCAUUUGGCGAUCUCGCAGUGACGGCCCCAUUAGCGGUGUAGUCUGGAAAUUAUUUUUAUCGCCAACCCCAUCAUAUAAAAAGACUACUUUUGACUUUAACAUCCCUCAUCUUGCGGCGGGACUCGAACUCGCACAAUUCGCGGGGGUUACCUCAGUGGUCUACCAGGUUGAGCUACCGCAGCUGACUGACCAAAACAGAAGCCAGUCGGCCUUUAUACCAGCGACAGGUCAGCGGGGCCCUUAAAUAAAGUGCUUCCGUACUACGACUGGACAGGCCCGUAUUAUACCGGGUGGGGUGAAUUGGCCGUUUAUCCAGGCGAGCUAAUCAUUUGCUGCGAAGUGCAAGAAGUCUUUAAUGUUAUUGGAAGAUGGAGGGCCCUGUAAACUGCCAAUUAAUAAAUAAUCUGAAGUAAAUCCAAUAUGGCGGGUACGGGGGCUUGAACCCGAGGCUUCCAUCUAGAAAGGAGCGCUAUUCCUCCUGAGCUACUCGCGGACUCUUUGUUACCCGUAACGGCUCCCAUGUGACGUGCGACACCGGACGAGUGAAAGGGGACCCAGUAAGCGACGUUGUCGUGCUGGGGACGAAAUCCGCUCGUUACAAUCUGUUCAAGUAAACGGAAUGCUAACAGCAGAGCGAGUUAAAUAUCUUUCAAAUCCUAGCGUUGUGCUUUAUAGUGGGGUCUGUAAAAGUCGCCUUGGAUUAAAGCAUCAGCCAAGUAAGAACUAAUAAUACGCAUAUUGUGCUUAAAGAGCCCCACUUUGAUAUUACAUCCCCGAGGCUGUAUGAGCGCAAAUCCCCCCCACUAAUACGGUGUGACCCUGAGCGACUUAAUUCAAUUACCAGUGCUGCUCCUGAACAAAGAAAAGGAGGUAAUUGUAUCUCACCCUGGGCGAAGAAGUUAAGUAAAUAUUAAUAAUUUAGCCCAACGACUUUAAUGAUUAAGUAAAUGAGAAUGAGCUGAUCGAGGAAUGGCAGGCUGGGUCUUCUUUUUUAAUUGUUCAUCUUUGUGUUUCUUAUUAUUUAUGUUUAUUUAAUGCUUUAUGUGAAUAUUG